GACCUGCGGAAGGAUC
rnacentral:rRNA from 2 species